rnacentral:misc_RNA from 1 species
GUGAAUCAUCGAAUCUUUGAACGCAAAUUGCACUCUCUUCGGAGAGUAUGCCUGUUUGAGGGUCAGCCUAAAAAAAAUCGACAUAGUCGCUGUUUCGCGGUGACAUUCGUCGGAAAUUGGGUCAUCUUAAAUCCUUUGGUUUUAAGCGGCUUUAAAUUUUCCUUACUAUUUCCCUAAACUUUCUAAGAUUUUAUUUCUUACACUCGUUU